UACGAAGGGUGCAAGCGUUACUCGGAAUUACUGGGCGUAAAGCGUGCGUAGGUGGUUUGUUAAGUCUGAUGUGAAAUCCCCGGGCUCAACCUGGGAAUGGCAUUGGAUACUGGCAGGCUAGAGUGCGGUAGAGGGUGGUGGAAUUCCCGGUGUAGCAGUGAAAUGCGUAGAGAUCGGGAGGAACAUCUGUGGCGAAGGCGGCCACCUGGACCAGCACUGACACUGAGGCACGAAAGCGUGGGGAGCGAACCGG
rnacentral:rRNA from 1 species